rnacentral:rRNA from 1 species
GUCUAUGGCCAUGCCACCCUGAAUGUGCCUGAUCUCAUCUGAUCUUGAAAACUAACCAGGCCCGACCCUGUUUAGUUUCUGAGAUCAGACAGGAUUAGGCUUGUUCAGGGUAGCAUGGCUGUAGACU